rnacentral:rRNA from 1 species
AUUGAACGCUGGCGGCAGGCCUAACACAUGCAAGUCGAACGGUAACAGGAAUCAGCUUGCUGAUUUGCUGACGAGUGGCGGACGGGUGAGUAAUGUCUGGGAAACUGCCUGAUGGAGGGGGAUAACUACUGGAAACGGUAGCUAAUACCGCAUAACGUCGCAAGACCAAAGAGGGGGACCUUCGGGCCUCUUGCCAUCGGAUGUGCCCAGAUGGGAUUAGCUAGUAGGUGGGGUAAAGGCUCACCUAGGCGACGAUCCCUAGCUGGUCUGAGAGGAUGACCAGCCACACUGGAACUGAGACACGGUCCAGACUCCUACGGGAGGCAGCAGUGGGGAAUAUUGCACAAUGGGCGCAAGCCUGAUGCAUCCAUGCCGCGUGUAUGAAGAAGGCCUUCGGGUUGUAAAGUACUUUCAGCGGGGAGGAAGGGAGUAAAGUUAAUACCUUUGCUCAUUGACGUUACCCGCAGAAGAAGCACCGGCUAACUCCGUG